CGGCGUUGUAGUUUACACGAUAUCGAUUCGGACGGUCGACGUAUCUCUACUAUUGCAAUGCACUUUUCUCCGGUAUACUAUCGGGUGAUCGAGUGUUUGUUAAGGAGACAGUUAAGAGGUCGUGGUGCCGCCCGUUUCGGCCGUAGUUCGACAGCGAUAACUGUUUUGCGCGGAGAAAAACUACUCCGCCGGCUAUAGGAUUGAUUAAGAGAUUAAAUUUUCACCAUAGAAAACGGUCUUGUGGGACGUUGCUUUUAUUUUUUUUUUUUUGACAUAACAUGCACAAACAGGACGCAUUGCCAAUUCGACAAUUUGACGAUUUCAAGUUUUGCAAACCCGAAU